AUACCAGAAACUAGUUUGGGGGGAAUUAUUACCUUUACCAACUCAGGUAGUUUGGCAGAAUGAGUAAGACAAAACUCCAGGGUGGGAUAACUCGCUUAGUGUGUUCCUUACUAUCUUGUAGCCUACAUU
ensembl:snoRNA